UUUGGAUGACCUCUACUCUGAUAUUCCUUUGAAUACGCAUGUCCCACAGAAACAAAUUUGGAACAUGUCGUAUGGUUUUAUCAACUUGCCGUUUGUAAAGGAAUAUAGAAUACAUUUCCGAGCAUUAAUUUUAGACGGAACGUGGAGUCUUGCUAUGUUAGAUGACGUAACUAUUCUUUACAUGGUAUGUUAUGAUACAUGUCCGGUGCAGUUUUUCCAAUGUCGAAGCUCGGAAUGCAUUCCCCCUGAUCAAAUAUGUGAUGAUAUAUAUCACUGUGCCGAUAAAUCAGACGAGCAGUU